rnacentral:rRNA from 1 species
GGCUGCUCCAGUUGGAUGCAUGUCCUUCUGGGAAAGCUUUUGCGGUAUGGGAUGGGGUCGCGUCCUAUCAGCUUGAUGGCGGGGUAACGGCCCACCAUGGCUUCGACGGGUAGCCGGCCUGAGAGGGCGACCGGCCACAUUGGGACUGAGAUACGGCCCAGACUCCUACGGGAGGCAGCAGUGGGGAAUAUUGCACAAUGGGCGCAAGCCUGAUGCAGCGACGCCGCGUGCGGGAUGACGGCCUUCGGGUUGUAAACCGCUUUUGACUGGGAGCAAGCCCUUCGGGGUGAGUGUACCUUUCGAAUAAGCACCGGCUAACUACGUGCCAGCAGCCGCGGUAAUACGUAGGGUGCAAGCGUUAUCCGGAAUUAUUGGGCGUAAAGGGCUCGUAGGCGGUUCGUCGCGUCCGGUGUGAAAGUCCAUCGCUUAACGGUGGAUCCGCGCCGGGUACGG